rnacentral:ncRNA from 2 species
UCUUUUCGUCUGUGCCGAGGCUCCAGGCGGAAGGAUUAAACGGGAAUGCGGUUCCAUAUAUAUGGAAGUAAGCCGCAGCUGCCCCCGCAACUGUGAGCGGCGAGAUCAUUGCGAUAAUCCCACUGGCCUUUCUUAAGGCUGGGAAGGGGCUGUGAUCGACAGAGCCGCAAGCCAGGAGACCGGCUGGAGAUAUGAUUUGACA